rnacentral:rRNA from 1 species
UCGGGAAUAUUGCGCAAUGGAGGAAACUCUGACGCAGUGACGCCGCGUAUAGGAAGAAGGUUUUCGGAUUGUAAACUAUUGUCGUUAGGGAAGAAAAAGACAGUACCUAAGGAGGAAGCUCCGGCUAACUACGUGCCAGCAGCCGCGGUAAUACGUAGGGAGCAAGCGUUAUCCGGAUUUAUUGGGUGUAAAGGGUGCGUAGACGGGCGAUCAAGUUAGUUGUGAAAUCCCUCGGCUCAACUGAGGAACUGCAGCUAAAACUGGUUAGUCUUGAGUGCAGGAGAGGUAAGUGGAAUUCCUAGUGUAGCGGUGAAAUGCGUAGAUAUUAGGAGGAACACCAGUGGCGAAGGCGACUUACUGGACUGUAACUGACGUUGAGGCACGAAAGUGUGGGGAGCAAACAGGAUUAGAUACC